rnacentral:rRNA from 1 species
ACACUCCUGCGGGAGGCAGCAGUGGGGAAUUUUGGACAAUGGGCGAAAGCCUGAUCCAGCAAUGCCGCGUGAGUGAAGAAGGCCUUCGGGUUGUAAAGCUCUUUUGUCAGGGAAGAAACGGUGAAAGCUAAUAUCUUUUGCUAAUGACGGUACCUGAAGAAUAAGCACCGGCUAACUACGUGCCAGCAGCCGCGGUAAUACGUAGGGUGCAAGCGUUAAUCGGAAUUACUGGGCGUAAAGCGUGCGCAGGCGGUUUUGUAAGUCUGAUGUGAAAUCCCCGGGCUCAACCUGGGAAUUGCAUUGGAGACUGCAAGGCUAGAAUCUGGCAGAGGGGGGUAGAAUUCCACGUGUAGCAGUGAAAUGCGUAGAUAUGUGGAGGAACACCGAUGGCGAAGGCAGCCCCCUGGGUCAAGAUUGACGCUCAUGCACGAAAGCGUGGGGAGCAAACAGGAUUAGAUACCCGUGUAGUCCCAUGAU